rnacentral:rRNA from 1 species
AGUCGAACGGCAGCACGGACUUCGGUCUGGUGGCGAGUGGUGAACGGGUGAGUAAUGUAUCGGAACGUGCCUAGUAGGGGGGAUACAGCUAAUACCGCAUACGCCCUUCGGGGGAAAGUUGGGGACCUUUCGGGCCUCGCACUAAUAGAGCGGCCGAUAUCGGAUUAGCUAGCUGGUGGGUAACGGCUCACCGUUGGGCGACGAUCCGUAGCUGGUUUGAGAGGACGACCAGCCACACUGGGACUGAGACACGGCCCAGACUCCUACGGGAGGCAGCAGUGGGGAAUUUGACAAUGGGGAAACCCCUGAUCCAGCCAUCCCGCGUGUGCGAUGAAGGCCUUCGGGUUGUAAAGCACUUUUGGCAGGAAAGAAACGGCACGGGAUAAUACCCCGUGCAACUGACGGUACCUGCAGAAUAAGCACCGGCUAACUACGUGCCAGCAGCCGCGGUAAUACGUAGGGUGCAAGCGUUAAUCGGAAUUACUGGGCGCAAAAGCGUGCGCAGGGUUCGGAAAGAAAGAUGAAAUCCCAGAGCUUAACUUUGGAACUGCAUUUUUAACUACCGAGCUAGGAGUGUGUCAGAGGAGGUGGAAUUCCGCGUAGCAGUGAAAUGCGUAGAUAUGCGGAGGAACACUGAUGGCGAAGGCAGCCUCCUGGGGAUAACACCGACGCUCAUGCACGAAAGCGUGGGGAGCAAACAGGAUUAGAUACCCUGGUGUCCACGCCCUAAACGAUGUCGACUAGCUGUUGGGGCCUUCGGGCCUUGGUAGCGCAGCUAACGCGUGAAGUUGACCGCCUGGGGAGUACGGUCGCAAGAUUAAAACUCAAAGGAACGACGGGGACCCGCACAAGCGGUGGAUGAUGUGGAUUAAUUCGAUGCAACGCGAAAACCUUACCUACCCUUGACAUGUCUGGAAUCCCGAAGAGAUUUGGGAGUGCUCGCAAGAGAACCGGAACACAGGUGUUGCAUGGCUGGUCGUCAGCUCGUGUCGUGAGAUGUUGGGUUAAGUCCGCAAACGAGCGCAACCCUUGUCAUUAGUUGCUACGAAGGGCACCUCUAAUGAGACUGCCGGUGACAAACCGGAGGAAGUGGUGGGGAUGACGUCAAGUCCUCAUGGCCCUUAUGGGUAGGGCUUCACACGUCAUACAAUGGUCGGGACAGAGGGUCGCCAACCCGCGAGGGGAGCCAAUCCCAGAAACCCGAUCGUAGUGUCCGGAUCGCAAGCCUGUGGCCCGGACUCGUGGAAGUCGGAACUGGUGGCCUGAUCAGCGGGCUGUCAUGUGGAAUAGCGUUCCUGGUCUGUAAGCACAACGCCUGUCACACCGGCGGGAGUGGGUUUUACUGAAGAAGUAGUUAGCCUAACCGUAAGGAGGGCGAUUACCACGGUAGGAUUCAUGAUCAGUGAAGUCGUAACAAGGUAA